GCUUACGGCCAUAUCAGCCAGGGUCUCGUCUGAUCUCGGAAGCUAAGCAGGGUCGGGCCUGGUUAGUACUUGGAUGGGAGACCGCCUGGGAAUACCAGGUGCUGUAAGCA
rnacentral:rRNA from 1 species